rnacentral:misc_RNA from 1 species
AAAUAUCUCUUUUCCUUCCGCGACAAGCUCCUGUUAAUCUAAGAAGACAGAGAAUUGUGAGGAUUAUUUCAGCAAAAGGGACAUCAACAUCACGAGAAUUGAUCUUGGUUCUUGCACCAUAAGACAGUAUAAACAGCUUUAUACGGUUUAUUACAACAAUAACCAAUCAAAGCAGACUCUGUAUGAGGAACGUUGUUGUUACGGUGACAUCUUUGUGUAUUAUGAUUAUCUUCCCCACGAAAGCCCAAGAACAACUUUGCCAACAACCAGAACAGGAAUACGAGCCGCGUCUUCAACCCAUUCAAGGACUCCUCUCUCCACUGGUCCUCCAGAAGUUUCCAUUCCCUCGGAUCCCAAGAACACUUUUGUACUGGUCAUCAUUUUUGAAAUCAAGGUCGGCACCGGUGGAAGAGUUUACAGACCAUUGCGAUUACUUAGUUAUUGAAGAAUCUCGAAUCACCACACACAAUUACAGUGUUAUUGAGGCGACAAACGGAUCCUAUCCACAACAAGAACACAAUCCGUACACAACAAUCCUGAGUUCCACUUCAAUUCCUUGUCAAUCAAGUGAAUACGAAACUGUUCAAAUAAAUACUGAACCCGACAAUCUGCGUGGUUGGGUACACGUACCAUAGGCUGUCUAAAGAUCCAAUUUCCACCACCUUCUGCAUAAUAUUCAAUUUUAUGUUUGUUUAAGGAGGUUGGCACCUGAAAAAAUAGUAAUGUCAAUCAUCCAAAAACCACUUGGAUAUAAAGAUGAGUACC